AUUGAACGCUGGCGGCAGGCCUAACACAUGCAAGUCGAACGGUAACACGAAACAGCUUGCUGUUUCGCUGACGAGUGGCGGACGGGUGAGAAAUGUCUGGGAAACUGCCUGAUGGAGGGGGAUAACUACUGGAAACGGUAGCUAAUACCGCAUAACGUCGCAAGCCCAAAGAGGGGGACCUUCGGGCCUCUUGCCAUCGGGUGUGCCCAGAUGGUCAUAGCUAGUAGGUGGGGUAACGGUUCACCUAGGUGACGAUCCCUAGCUGGUCUGAGAGAAGGAGCGGCGACACGAGAGCGUAGACACGGUCCAGACGCCUGCGGGAGGCAGCAGUGGGGAAUGUUGCGCAGUAGGCGCAAGCCUGAUGCAGCCAUGCCGCGUGUAUGAAGAAAGCCUUCGGGGUGGAAAGUACUUUCAGCGGUGAGGAAGGGAGUAAAGUUAAUACCUAGACUGAUUGACGUUACCCGCAGAAGAAGCACCGGCUAACUACGUG
rnacentral:rRNA from 1 species